rnacentral:tRNA from 1 species
GAAGGUAUAGCUCAGGUGGUAGAGCAUGUGCUUUAGCAUUCACAAGGUCCUGGGUUCAAUCCCCAGUAUUCCCU